CACCCAUAUUUGCUGAUCCUGGUUUCACAGCCGGUUCACAUCUGAUUGAAUAAGAACGGAUCCCAAAUGCAAAGUUAAUGUCACAGCAAGGUCCAAGCUGUCUUGUGGCACAUCACAUCACCUCAGUCUCCUGCCAUCAGGGGGGGUGGAGGCUGAGGGGCAUGCGAGUGAGGACCAACAGACUGAGAGACAGGUUUGUCCAUCAGGCUGUCAGGAUGGAAAACUCUCUCCCAACCAUCACUUCCUCACCCUUUGUGGACUCUGGAGGGACAAACUUGAAUGUGAGUGUGAAAGAAAGUCUCAAAGAAAGGAAACAGGUGAGGACAGGAAUAACAGUCCUGUCUUAGGAGAAAGGGGGCUACGUAAGCAUGGAGUUAAAAAAACACGCCAGGACCUGAC